GCAUCUGUAGCUCAACUGGACAGAGCGCCUGUCUUCGGAACAGGAGGUUAGAGGCUCGAAUCCUCUCAGAUGCA
rnacentral:tRNA from 1 species